CCGACACCCAUGAUCGCACAUUCAUUUUUCACAAAAAAUAGGAUACCAAUCACAUUUGCAUCGACAUAUUUCCACAGGUGAAUACUUAGGGCAUGUUCACACCAAGUUGCGACAGCUGAAGUUCAUUAAUUAUGACAGGGGAAGGAAAAAUGUAGGGCCUUCCUUGUCUCUAAUUUACCGACGUCCAUGAAACCGUACACGGCCUGAGAUGGUGCCAAGGACCAAGGCAUCUGGCGCAAUGCAUCAACAUCAACUAUUACUGCUACAAGCCUGCAUAUUGCCAUUUCAACGUAAUGGAGCAAAAUAACCCCGGUCAAAGUGAGCAAGAGUUUGUGCGUUUGCACACUGUGAAGCAGUGGCUGCGAGGGGAAGAGCCAAAUAUGUUGCCACGCAAAAAGAAGAACGUGAAGAGAUUUGCUCUCCUGGUGAAGGGUGAAGAUUGUCAUCGAAUAAUAUAAACUAUAUCUCAUCAAAGUGGCCGAGGGGAGGAAGCGGCAGGUUCUCCUGCAUCAGAACAUAUUGCGCAUCCUUGCCCAGUAUCAUGACGAUGCAGGCCACUGUGGUCAACAUACCACAGAGGAAAACAUUGCCUCUUAAUUAUUACUGGCCAAGGACAUUAUGUCAAAGACUAUGUGAUUAGACAGUACAUUGCGUGUUCAGUUUCACCAUGUCAGUGAUGCUUAUACCUGUGAAAAGUCCUAUUGUAAAGAAGAGGAAUAUUGUCUCUGUGAAGUUAACAAGUUGCCUGUAUCAGAUUGCAUCUUGAUUAUUGAGGAACAUUUUAGUCUUAUCACUUGUAUAUUUUUGCAAUAAAGUCAAUGAAUUUCAAGUGUAUUUUAUUUUUCAUCAUUAUUCUUAUUAGCGUUUCUACGUUAAA